UUAUUUUUUAUUUUUUAUUUUUUAAAUCAGGUUGAAAUCAAAUUUUCCUGUUGUCUUGUUUGUGCACUUUAAUAUAAUGGAAGGAGGAGAUCAAACGUCCAAGAAUCUUGAAGCCCAUUGCGGUUGUAAUUAAGAGGGAUAGAAACCAAAGGCACACUGAAGAAUUAGCAAACCUGGGCUCUUGCUGAAGUUGUCAAGGACUCAAAAUGAUUAUGGCGUAACCGUUUCUCCUGUACUUAGGGAAUGCCCAUUUGAUGGUUCCUUUUGUUGAUUUUGUGGAAAUGACAAUGCUAAAGUUGGGUUCACCUGAGCUUGAGAUCAGUUUUACCAUGACCUGGCUUCUGUGGCAUAAUUUUGACGAAAUUGGGCUAAGAGAAACUGCAAGUUCUGUCUAGACUUUUUGCAGCACCAUGGUGGAAUGUUAUUGAUGAAUCAAGCUGUUACAUUUAGUCUUGAUAUUGGAAUACAAGACCUCAUGGUGGACUGUUCCAACUUCAGGUUGAUAGUUCCAUUGAAGUUGAGUGAAAGCUAUUUGUUUGAGGCCAAGAAAGAUUUAAAAGUGCUCACACUGCAGGUUGUUUUAAACAAAUUUCUUCAGUUUUCAUGCAAUAUUAAAGAAAUGUAAUCUAACAGCACAUGGUUUAGUGGGGUAUGCAAAGGAGAAUGAGGAGAUCUCAUGAU